GUGUUUUUGUGUGCUGUGUGCUUUCUGUGCAGGGUGUGACUGGCAGGUGGUGCUGCACAGCUGUUGCUCAUCUGAGAGCAAUCAGCUGGGCUACUCAUGGAGUAGAAACCCAGAGGGAGGCAUCGGCUUGUUUUCUCCCUUGGCGUGGUAACAGCCAGACCUCUGCUUCUCUGAUCUCCUUGUUUUUCUCCCCCUGCCUUGCAGAUCACGUUUGCCGUUUGCUGAAGGAAGUCGUGGAACCUUUCUGGUCUACGUUUUCACUCGUGUCAUGUUCAGAGGAGUUUGGGAACUCCAGCCUCGACACCUCAGCCAUGAGCCUCCUCUCUGCUUCCAACUCCAAGCCCAGCUUCUCAGGAGCCACUUGAGAACCACCCAUCAACCUACCUGUCCACUCUCCGUUAAAACUCUCCAACCGUAAUGGAGUUUCCUGGAAGAGAAGAAACUAAGCACUUCAUCCUCCGAAAACUGUUCACAGCCUAUCAGCCUCAAGCCACCGUGAAGAAGAACUUAUUUCCCCCAGGUCUUGCCAAGAACCCCACCCCUAGAGACCCCGCGUUCGUCCGCCAGCUCCAGCCAUGGUUCCAGUCCAACCUUUAUCCGUGUUUCUAAAUAAACUGUUAAAACGC